UUGAAGUUUGCAAUUAAUUAAUAAAACAUGCAUUGAAAAUAUAAAAAAUGGAUCUUUUUGAAACAUUUUUUUCUCUAAAAUAUGUAAUUUUAAAGAACAGAUGGAAUAUAACACUAUCGUAGAUUAGUCCAAAAAUAAAUGUUCAGUAGUAUAAUCUAUCCUAUACUAAAAGGAAGAUAUCAUGAGUCCUAAAGCUAUCCACGUAGGAUUAAAAAAUCCACCAAUCAGCACAUUUCAUUUCUCUACAUCAGACAGGUUGGGCUUUCGGUUUGGGCUUCGUUUGUUUUUUGCCAAAUUACACAAUCAGACACCAAAAUGAGUGGGCCUGAGCUUGGGGUUCAUUUGCUGUUUGCCCUAAACUUAACAACGCAUGGUUCUUCUUCUGAGAAGACGAGAUAUGGUUGAGACUAAACGUAGCUCUUCAGCUUCCAAGAGUUUAUCUGCUUCUUCUUCAUCCCUUGAAAUGUCUUCUCAUCUCCACUCCCUACCAAGCGAUCUAAGGUCAAGAUCCAUGCUGCUAUUAAAUCUGUAUGUUAGAUCCGAGUUUCGUUGCGGUCCGAGCCAUGUCAGAGUCUCAGACAGCUCUAAAGAAUCAGCCACAGUCAUCGGCCUCCUCUGGAAAGAAGCAAGCUUUGAUAUCUUUAUCUGACAAGAAGGAUUUAGCUACUUUUGGCAAAGGUCUUCAAGAGUUAGGAUACACUAUUGUUUCUACUGGAGAAACUGCCUCUACCUUGGAGAAUGCUGUAGUCUCUGUCACCAAAGUGGAGACGCUUACUCGUUUCCCUGAAAUGGAAAGUUUCAUUCUUUAGCUGGUGGUAAUGAUUAAGCAGUUGAGUUUGGUAUAUUAAGCUUAUCUCUCAUUUUGUUUUUUUUUCUUCUCGGAAAAGCAGCUUGAUGGCCGUGUGAAGACUUUGCACCCAAACAUACACGGUGGUAUCCUUGAUAGAAGAGAUGUGGAGCAUCAUAUGGAAGCUCUUAAUGAGCAUGUCAUUGUAUUCAGGUGGGAUCAGUUUUUAGGAUGGGAUUGAGAACAUCGACAUUGGUGGUCCUACUAUGAUUAGAGCAGCUGCUAAGAACCACAAAGAUGUCCUCAUCGUUGUCGAUUCAGAGGAUUAUUAAGCUGUUUUGGAGUAUCUCAAAAGAGGUCAGAACGACCAACAAUUCCGCAGGAAACUUGCGUGGAAGGCCUUUCAGCACGUUGUUGCUUAUGAUUCCACUGUCUCAGAAUGGCUAUGGAAGCAGACUGAGGGAAUGCAACCACGAUUUCUCCUUCAAUACUUCUUCCCUCUUCCCUCUGUUCAAGGCGGUGCAUCUACAACUAUAAAAAGUCAAGAUCAUCUUGGAAUGGGUCUGAUUACAGAGAAACUCAAGCGGACAUAAAGAAGCGUUAACGAGAUUGAAGGGAGCAGUGGCCAUGUUGUCGAUGGUGAUCAGCAUGUCAAUACUACGUAGAUGGUGAUUCAGACGGCGGCUACAGCGGCUUUGGGAGUCAGAAACCGCGUGCAGUACAGGCUCGCACUGGUUCCACUCAAUCAGUCUCCCUUCUUCCUCUGUGCCACUCUCCAGAUUCCGAAGUUUAGACACGUGAUCGAAAAAAGAACGCAAGAUAUUGCAGUGAAAUUGCAGAAGAAGAUGGAACAGAGUGUUGAAAUUCUCAAAUUGAAUAUCUCACCGGCAGUCACAGCGGAGAAGAAGGACACUACCAUGAACUACCGUAUGAACCGCAUAAUGAAUAUCCCCUACAACCUGAUCACAUGACCAUGCAACUGUUGUGUUAGUUAUCUUUCGUUCAUUUGCUCUUUUAUCCUCCAAACUGUAUAUACAACAGAAGAAACAAGUUUGUAUAUACAUAAAUUCACAAUCCAUGACACAUGCUACAAAAUAUUUAUAGUUUGAUGUUGGUUCUGUCAAUGCAAAAUACAAUUUUUUUUUAA